UAGAAGCAUUAACAAGGUGGUUUUGUUUGUUUGUCGAUGCGUCUUGCAGUUGCACCUCAUGUCCAAGGUUUCUUAUUCUUAAGACCUUAUUCACUCACCAUUCAGCACUGCUCUUCCCCUUCUCCUCCUUCCAUCUCACAAGUCUACGAAGACCUUCUCCGCAUUUGCUUCCGCUUACAACAAACUAAAACUAAUCCCCAUCACCAUCACGACUACCAUGUGUUCGACAAUAUUCCCAACCACGGCGACGGGGAAAUGGCCAAAGUUGUUCAUGCACACGCCAUCAAACACGACAUUUCCUCUGAUGGCUUCCUCGCAAGUGCCACCAUCGAUCUCUACGCCGCUGCCGGCAAUGUCCCUUUCGCUCAGAGGCUCUUCCACCAGCUCCAUCCCCGUCAGAGACAUUUAUCCGCUUAUAAUUCUAUCAUUUCCAUGUACUCAAGGCAGGGGUUAUUCCAAAAUGCACUCCGUUGUUUCGUUUCUAUGAUGCGUUUUGGCCAGUUGCCUGACCAAUUCACGCUCGCUAUAGCUCUCUCUGUUUGUUCAAAGCUCAGGAAUGUUGAAUUCGGCACGCUGCUUCACUCCUGCGUGAUCAAGGCAGGUUUUGAGUCCAAUCCGUUCUGCCAGGGUGCUCUUAUCGAUCUGUAUGCCAAAUGUGGCUUUCUCCGCCAUGCUAGCGCCAUAUUUGACGCCGCAGUCCACUUGGACAAUGUUUCUUGGACGGCUUUGAUUUCGGGUUAUGUUCGAGCCGGGCUGCCGCAGGACGCCCUUCAGGUGUUUGACAAAAUGCAGAUAGCUGGCUGCUCUCCUGACCAGGUGGUUUUUGUGACUGUUCUCAAUGCUCUUGUGAAUUUGGGUAAGCUGGAUGAUGCCUGUAAAUUGUUCCGAGACAUGCACACUAGCAAUGUUGUGGCAUGGAAUGCGAUGAUCUCUGGUCAUGCUAAGAGCGGCCAUCAUAAGGAGGCCAUUGAGUUCUUUCUCGAAAUGAGGAAGUGUGGUAUAAAGUCCUCAAGGUCCACGCUGGCAAGUGUUCUUAGUGCGAUUGCCAGCUUAGCUGCGUUGGAUUAUGGGUUACUAGUCCAUGGAGAGGCUAUCAAACAAGGUUUGGGUUCUAGUAUAUAUGUGGGAAGUUCUUUGAUCAGUAUGUAUGGGAAGUGCGAAAUGUUAGAUGCUGCAAAGCAAGUAUUUGAUGUCAUGUCUGAGAAAAAUAUGGUCACUUGGAAUGCCAUGCUGGGAGUUUAUGCACAGAAUGGUUAUUUCAAUCAUGUAUUGGAGCUAUUCCUUAAUAUGACACGACGUACCAUUGAACCGGACGAAUUUACCUUCACUAGCAUUUUGAGUUCAUGUGCUUGUUUUGAAAGCUUAGAAAUUGGUCGUCAGGUGCAUUCAGUUGUUAUCAAGAGAAGUUUUGCAAACAAUUUAUUUGUGAACAAUGCAUUGGUAGAUAUGUAUGCCAAGGCUGGGGCUUUGAAGGAAGCUAGGAAACAGUUUGAGCGCAUGAAAACCCGAGAUAACAUUUCUUGGAAUGCCAUUAUUGUUGGAUACGUGCAGGAAGAAGAGGAAACUGAUGCUUUCAAAAUGUUCAACAAAAUGAGGUUACAUGGCAUAGUACCUGACGAGGUAGCUUUGGCAAGCAUACUUAGCGCUUGUGGAAAUGUUAAGCUAUUAGAAGCAGGAUUGCAGUUCCAUUGCCUGGCAGUUAAGUUGGGAUUAGAAACAAACCUUUUUGUUGGAAGUUCUCUUAUUGACAUGUAUUCUAAAUGCUGGUCCAUUGAAGAUGCACGAAAAAUCUAUUCUAACAUGCCUGAAUGGAGUGUGGUAUCCAUGAAUGCUCUGAUUUCAGGAUAUGCUCUGAAAAAUAUAAAAGAAGCUAUUAAUCUUUUUAGUGAUAUGCUGGCAUUGGGGCUCAAGCCAUCUGAAAUUACAUUUGCAAGCCUGAUAGAUGCUUGUAAGGGUUCUCAGGUAAAUCUAGGGUUGCAGAUCCAUUGUGCUAUAGUUAAGAGGGGUCUUUUAUGUGGUAGUGAGUUCUUAGGUACCUCUUUGUUGGGCAUGUAUAUGGACUCACAAAGGAUUGCAGAUGCCAACUUACUUUUCUCAGAGUUUUCGAACCUUAAAAGCAUUGUUAUGUGGACUGCUUUAAUUUCUGGGUAUACUCAAAAUGAUUGCUGUUACGAGGCCAUAAAUUCAUACCGAGAAAUGCGGGACAACAGUAUGUUCCCUGACCAAGCAACAUUUGUUUCAGUUCUUCGAGCUUGUGCUCUCUUAUCGGCAUUGCAAGAUGGGAAAGAGAUACAUUCUCUAAUAUUCCAUACUGGUUUUGACUUGGAUGAGUUAACCAGCAGUGCACUCAUAGACAUGUAUGCUAAAUGUGGGGAUGUAAAAAGUGCUGUGCAAGUUUUUGAAGAAAUGGGUACUAAAAAGGAUGUGAUUUCUUGGAACUCAAUGAUAGUUGGAUUUGCAAAAAAUGGUCAUGCAGAAAGCGCUCUGAAGGUCUUCAAUGAGAUGGCUCACUCAUGUGUUACACCAGAUGAUGUCACAUUCCUCGGAGUGCUCACUGCUUGCAGCCAUGCAGGGUGGGUUUCCGAGGGCCGUCAAAUUUUUGAUCUCAUGGUGAACUGUUAUGGCAUUGAACCCAGGGCUGAUCACUAUGCUUGCAUUGUGGAUCUUCUUGGUCGCUGGGGUAAUCUCAAAGAAGCUGAAGAGUUCAUCGACAAACUAAAUGUCGAACCGAAUGCUAUGAUUUGGGCCAAUUUAUUGGGAGCUUGCCGAAUUCAUGGUGAUGAUAUAAGGGGAGAGCGAGCAGCUAAGAACCUUAUUAAGUUAGAACCUGACAAUUCUUCCCCAUAUGUAUUGCUUUCUAAUAUGUAUGCUGCAUCAGGACAUUGGAAUGAAGCUAGAUCUUUGAGGAGAACCAUGAUACAGAAAGAAAUCCAAAAGAUGCCUGGGUGUAGCUGGAUUGUUGUAGGACAAAAGACAAACUCAUUUGUUGCAGAGCACCGCCCGUGAAGUAAAGCGCUUAGAUUCAAUUUGUAGAUCCCCUGUUUAUGCACAAUUUGGAGAAGCACUUAAUGGUCUAUCAACAAUGUGUGCUUACAAGGCUUAUGACCGCAUGGCUGAUAUCAAUGGAAAGUCGAUGGACAACAACAUACGAUUCACUCUGGUGAACAUGAGUGGAAAUCGAUGGCUUGCAAUUCGAUUGGAAACUCUGGGAGGUCUCAUGAUAUGGUUUACUGCAACCUUUGCGGUAAUGCAGAAUGGGAGGGCCGAGAACCAGCAGCAAUUUUCAUCCACCAUGGGUUUCCUACUUAGUUAUGCUUUGAACAUUACCAGUUUGCUUACUGGUGUGCUCAGGCUUGCUAGUUUGGCUGAGAAUAGUCUAAAUGCUGUUGAGAGUGUUGGCACUUAUAUAGAUUUGCCUUCAGAGGCACCAUCCAUCAUUGAGGAUAGUCGCCCCCCUCCAGGCUGGCCCUCAUCUGGAUCAAUUAGAUUUUAGGAUGUUGUACUUCGAUACAGGCCUGAACUUCCUCCUGUCCUUCAUGGCUUGAAUUUCACAAUUUUUCCAAGCGAUAAGGUUGGCAUUGUAGGAAGGACAGGAGCUGGAAAAUCUAGCAUGUUUAAUGCUUUAUUUUGAAUUGUGGAAUUGGAAAGAGGAAGAAUAUUAAUUGAUGAUUGUGAUAUUGCAAAGUUUGGGCUAGCUGAUUUGCGUAAAGUUCUUGGCAUUAUACCACAGUCCCCUGUUUUGUUUUCAGGAACGGUAAAGUUUAAUCUUGACCCUUUUAAUGAACACAAUGAUGCUGACCUCUGGGAGGCUCUGGAGAGGGCACAUUUGAAGGAUGUGAUUCGGAGGAAUUCUUUGGGGCUGGAUGCUGAGGUCUCUGAGGCAGGCGAUAACUUCAGUGUUGGGCAGAGGCAACUGUUGAGUCUCUCUCGGGCAUUAUUGCGUAGAUCAAAGAUAUUAGUACUUGACAAAGCCACUGCAGCAGUAGAUGUUAGAACAGAUGCCCUCAUACAGAAAACAAUUCGAGAGGAAU